rnacentral:rRNA from 1 species
UACGUAGGGUGCAAGCGUUGUCCGGAAUUAUUGGGCGUAAAGAGCUCGUAGGCGGUUUGUCGCGUCUGCUGUGAAAACCCGAGGCUCAACCUCGGGCCUGCAGUGGGUACGGGCAGACUAGAGGUAUGCAGGGGAGAACGGAAUUCCUGGUGUAGCGGUGGAAUGCGCAGAUAUCAGGAGGAACACCGGUGGCGAAGGCGGUUCUCUGGGCCUUACCUGACGCUGAGGAGCGAAAGCGUGGGAGCAAACAGG